rnacentral:rRNA from 1 species
UACGGAGGGAGCUAGCGUUGUUCGGAAUUACUGGGCGUAAAGCGCACGUAGGCGGCUAUUCAAGUCGGGGGUGAAAGCCCGGGGCUCAACCCCGGAACUGCCCUCGAAACUAGGUAGCUAGAAUCUUGGAGAGGCGAGUGGAAUUCCGAGUGUAGAGGUGAAAUUCGUAGAUAUUCGGAAGAACACCAGUGGCGAAGGCGACUCGCUGGACAAGUAUUGACGCUGAGCUGCGAAAGCGUGGGGAGCAAACAGG